rnacentral:rRNA from 1 species
GAUGAACGCUGGCGGCGUGCCUAAUACAUGCAAGUCGAGCGAACGGACGAGAAGCUUGCUUUUCUGAUGUUAGCGGCGGACGGGUGAGUAACACGUGGAUAACCUACCUAUAAGACUGGGAUAACUUCGGGAAACCGGAGCUAAUACCGGAUAAUAUUUUGAACCGCAUGGUUCAAAAGUGAAAGACGGUCUUGCUGCCACUUAUAGAUGGAUCCGCGCUGCAUUGGCUAGUUGGUAAGGUAACGGCUUACCAAGGCAACGAUGCAUAGCCGACCUGAGAGGGUGAUCGGCCACACUGGAACUGAGACACGGUCCAGACUCCUACGGGAGGCAGCAGUAGGGAAUCUUCCGCAAUGGGCGAAAGCCUGACGGAGCAACGCCGCGUGAGUGAUGAAGGUCUUCGGAUCGUAAAACUCUGUUAUUAGGGAAGAACAUAUGUGUAAGUAACUGUGCACAUCUUGACGGUACCUAAUCAGAAAGCCACGGCUAACUACGUG